CAUGGCUCAGAUUGAACGCUGGCGGCAAGCCUUACACAUGCAAGUCGAACGGCAGCACGGGUGCUUGCACCUGGUGGCGAGAGGCGAACGGGUGAGUAAUACAUCGGAACAUGUCCUGUAGUGGGGGAUAGCGCGGCGAAAGCCGGAUUAAUACCGCAUACGAUCCACGGAUGAAAGCGGGGGACCUUCGGGCCUCGCGCUAUAGGGUUGGCCGAUGGCUGAUUAGCUAGUUGGUGGGGUAAAGGCCUACCAAGGCGACGAUCAGUAGCUGGUCUGAGAGGACGACCAGCCACACUGGGACUGAGACACGGCCCAGAGUCCUACGGGAGGCAGCAGUGGGGAAUUUUGGACAAUGGGCGAAAGCCAGAUCCAGCAAUGCCGCGUGUGUGAAGAAGGCCUUCGGGUUGUAAAGCACUGUUGUCCGGAAAGAAAUCCUUGGCUCUAAUACAGUCGGGGGAUGACGGUACCGGAAGAAUAAGCACCGGCUAACUACGUGCCAGCAGCCGCGGUAAUACGUAGGGUGCAAGCGUUAAUCGGAAUUAGUGGGCGUAAAGCGUGCGCAGGCGGUUUGCUAAGACCGAUGUGAAAUCCCCGGGCUCAACCUGGGAACUGCAUUGGUGACUGGCAGGCUAGAGUAUGGCAGAGGGGGGUAGAAUUCCACGUGUAGCAGUGAAAUGCGUAGAGAUGUGGAGGAAUACCGAUGGCGAAGGCAGCCCCCUGGGCCAAUACUGACGCUCAUGCACGAAAGCGUGGGGAGCAAACAGGAUUAGAUACCCUGGUAGUCCACGCCCUAAACGAUGUCAAGUAGUUGUUGGGGAUUCAUUUCCUUAGUAACGUAGCUAACGCGUGAAGUUGACCGCCUGGGGAGUACGGUCGCAAGAUUAAAACUCAAAGGAAUUGACGGGGACCCGCACAAGCGGUGGAUGAUGUGGAUUAAUUCGAUGCAACGCGAAAAACCUUACCUACCCUUGACAUGGUCGGAAUCCUGCAGAGAGGUGGGAGUGCUCGAAAGAGAACCGGCGCACAGGUGCUGCAUGGCUGUCGUCAGCUCGUGUCGUGAGAUGUUGGGUUAAGUCCCGCAACGAGCGCAACCGUUGUCCUUAGUUGCUACGCAAGAGCACUCUAAGGAGACUGCCGGUGACAAACCGGAGGAAGGUGGGGAUGACGUCAAGUCCUCAUGGCCCUUAUGGGUAGGGCUUCACACGUCAUACAAUGGUCGGAACAGAGGGUUGCCAACCCGCGAGGGGGAGCUAAUCCCAGAAAACCGAUCGUAGUCCGGAUUGCACUCUGGAACUCGAGUGCAUGAAGCUGGAAUCGCUAGUAAUCGCGGAUCAGCAUGCCGCGGUGAAUACGUUCCCCGGGUCUUGUACACACCGCCCGUCACACCAUGGGAGUGGGUUUUACCAGAAGUGGCUAGUCUAACCGCANGAGA
rnacentral:rRNA from 1 species